AAUUUAAUGACAUUCCAUAAGAAUAAAAAUCCAAUAGGACCAAGAUCUUAGCAGUUCACACCCGGUCAGAGGGACAAAAUUGAGAACCAUGCAGAUCAGCAAGUGUGAGUUGCACUCUAAUGAGGAACAGGACAUCUGAAUUGGAACAUUGCAAGGUUUCUCACUGCCCAAGCUGUACCACCGGUAUCACAACAAGUACCAAGACGGAAGAAAUAUGAAGGCCAAGUUAAUAAGUAGUUACUUUAAAUUAAUUUGAAUAGACAUAUCAACAAAGCAUUGAAUGUUCUUUAAACUGCAUAUCUGUAGAAAGAGUGCAGUUCCAUUUCAGAUUCAUCAGCGGGCAAUGAUAUUAAAGCAUACAAAAUUUCACAAAAAAAUUACAAGUAAGAAAUUUUUUUUUCCAAUGGGCAAAUGUAUCAACUUUUAUUGAUAUUUAAUACUUAUACUAGUUCUUAGAAGUUUUCUUGAAAUUAAAUAAAAUUUCCAGU